rnacentral:lncRNA from 1 species
AAGGAUUGGAGCAAGAAAUCACCCCCUCCCUUUUUCCUUCAAAUUUUCGAAAAAAAUGGGUAUCUUACCCUUCAAAAAUUUUUCUUCUUCUUUCCUUGAAUUGAGGUGAGAAAAGUGAUCUAUGUGAUGUUUGGUGAUGAUUAGCAUGUGUUUUGAAAAGCUAUGCUUUGUGAUGUAAAAAUUUGGUUGAGUUAGUUUACCCAA